GCCAGUGUGGUGUAGUGGUUUGAGUUUUGGACUAAGAGUCUGGAAGACCAGGGUUCGAAUCCCUGCUCAGCCA